AAGCCGAGCAGUGCGAAGCAGUCGCGGGUGACUCCUGGGCUGUUUUAAGCACUGUCUAAGACUGCUCAGACUUGUAUAAUGUUGCUAAGUAGCAGGAUUAAAGGAUUAAAUUCUCUACAUUCUAGAAUCCAGGUUUGGAAACUUUUUGGAAAAGAAGGCUGCCUGGCUGCGGGAAGGAGCCUGUCCUAUGAGGUUGAUUACAACAUGGAAUUUCUACCCAUAAAAGUCAAAAGCUUUGAAAAAAAUCAUCAAGGAUUUCCAGGCAUGGUGGCAUAUGCCUGUAAUCCCAGCACUCAGGAGGCCGAGGCAGGAGGAUCGUUAUCAGUUUGA
rnacentral:lncRNA from 1 species